rnacentral:rRNA from 1 species
UAUCCGCCAGAGAACUACAAGUGAAAAACUUGAAACUCAAAGGACUUGACGGUGUCCCAUAUCAACCUAGAGGAGCCUGUCCUAUAAUCGAUACCCCUCGCUCUACCUUACCUUAACUAGCAAAAUUCAGCCUAUAUACCGCCGUCGACAGCCUACCCUAUGAGGGUCUAAUAGUAGACACAAUAGUUGCACCACUAGUACGUCAGGUCAAGGUGUAGCAAAUGUUAAGGAAGUGAUUGGCUACAUUUUUUAUUAUAAAAAACACGGAAUGCACCAUGAAAUCGUCCAUUAAGGUGAAUUUAGUAGUAAAGCAGAUAAGAGUGUCUGCUUUAACAAUGCUCUGGGACGCGUACACACCGCCC